UGGGGUUGUUUGGUCCUGCGGUGCGUCUUCUGUCCAAGAGCGUAACCGCUUGAGUUUCUGCUGAAGUGCUGGCGUGGGCAUUCUCUCAACUUCUCCCGGCAACUGCUGUACCUAGCCUGUCCGUUUUACUGCUGUUGCCCUUGCUGCUGUCGGCGUAGGCGAUGUGCCUCGCCCAUCGGGUAGCCUGGGAUCAACAUAUGUAGGGCCGACGGCCCUUGACGCGCUGCUGUUUUUGUUCUCCUGACAACUAUUGUGGACGAGUGCGUGCGUGUGGAGAGUGUGUUAAGUGACGCGCGGUGCGCGCUUGGAACUCUCGUGUGGAGAGAGUGUUUGGUGACGCGCGUGGUUGCGCGCUGACACUCAGUGGAGUGUGUGUGAGAAUGUGAUGUGUGGGUCUUAGCUCUUUCUUUUGUUUGAUUAAUUUACGUUUGAUUUCUGUUUUGUUUCUUAUUGUAUUGGUGUAUUGUGUGUUGGCCGUGUCGGGUACACCACACACCUGUAACUGGUCAGUAGGACCACCCUACAGUAGUUUCUCACGUGCAGUGCUCAGGCCUUAUGCCGAGUGUAACUUCGUGUGCUGUGUUAAUGAUUUAUUUCCAUGCAUGCUUAUUCAACUAGAUGUGCUUGCUGUGCUAAUUGUGUGUUACAUCGUGUUAACUUGUUCUGAAGCUACUCAAUAGGGGAAACCUAAGCCAACUCAUUGUGUGGUUACCUGUCCCGCACCAAUGUACGUUUUGUUUAUUCUGUGGUCCUAAAUAACAUUGUAUUUUAUACCCCCCUGACGUAUUAAAAAGAGAAAGUAAUUGUUCCCUGUAAUCCUGUCUCUGUCGUUCCUUACGAACCUGUGUGCUUUGAUGCACUAGUGUGUAAUUCAAUUUCCAGAGGGACUUUAGCGCCCUCUGGUGGCGUAGUCGGUUCAUUGAUUAAAUAAUAUUUUUGU